UGGAGUAAGGGGCGCCUGCUCUCGGGAGAAUGCAAUUUAUCGUCGCGGUGGCGGGAUGUGUUGCUUCUCAAUUAUGAGCGGGGUGUCACUUGUUGCAGUGGUCGGAGCUAUCGGGCGGCUAGUUUGGCGGUGCCGCGGAGCUCAUACGGGGACGAGAACCACCCCCGGUGUCCACCCCCGUCCGGUCCGGGCCUCCUCGACCUCUUCUACUCCGAGGCCAACCAUUUCGAGCAGCCCUUCCGACGCCACUCCACAGCCGAUGUCUACCACUCGCAGAGGACACACACACACAAAAUCACUGCAAGCAGCCCCGGAAUGGAGAGGCUGCCUCAGCGGACGCCGCCAGAGGUGCCGGAGCGGAAGAAGCCGGGGUCGGUGCCCCCGCAGCUCCCCCGGCCGGCUCUGAUGGAGCACAAAAUCCCGCCGCCUCCGCGGAAGUCGGCGCCGCCGAUCCAGCCGCGCGCCCGGGGUCAGGUCCCCCGCCCGACCCCGCUCGGGCCCCCCCAGGAAGAGGCGCCCCCACCGGCCCAGGCCUUCUUCCCUCCGACGCCCACCGACGCCGCUCCCUCGGUCUUCAGCUCGAUGCAGUUCAAGAACUACGAGCUCCUCAACCGGAACCAGGUCUCCUUCAUCCCUUGUAACUCAGAGUGUCCGCAGUCGCCGCGCCGCUACUCUUACUCCCACGCCGGGGACCUCAAGGUGCAGGCCCCCGGACCGGGGCGGCCCCCGCAACGGCCGGACACGCCACCACCGCCCGAAUACCAGCGCAAGUUCUCCGAGGCAACCUCCCGCGGAGGCGGCCGUCUUCGGCAACCGACGACGGAGCCUGAAGAUCCCGCCUCCGCUCGAGACCCGGGCGACGCUGCUCACCGAGUUCUCAGACGGCGAGGCACCGGCAACGCUCUCUGA
rnacentral:lncRNA from 1 species